UGGCUCGAUUUCCUGGGGGGUGGGCUCAGCCCGCUCCACCUCCCCUCAGACGAGCCUAGAGCAAAGAGGCUGGGCUUUCUGCCAAAUGGGAGAGGUUGUUAAGAAAGAAGCCUCACCUGGGCUAUCCCUGCCAUACAUUU